UGGGGAAUAUUGGACAAUGGGGGCAACCCUGAUCCAGCAAUGCCGCGUGUGUGAAGAAGGUCUUCGGAUUGUAAAGCACUUUCGACGGGGACGAUGAUGACGGUACCCGUAGAAGAAGCCCCGGCUAACUUCGUGCCAGCAGCCGCGGUCAAUACGAAGGGGGCUAGCGUUGCUCGGAAUGACUGGGCGUAAAGGGCGUGUAGGCGGUUUACACAGUCAGAUGUGAAAUCCCCGGGCUUAACCUGGGAGCUGCAUUUGAUACGUGUAGACUAGAGUGUGAGAGAGGGUUGUGGAAUUCCCAGUGUAGAGGUGAAAUUCGUAGAUAUUGGGAAGAACACCGGUGGCGAAGGCGGCAACCUGGCUCAUGACUGACGCUGAGGCGCGAAAGCGUGGGGAGCAAACAGGAUUAGGAUACCCUGGUAGUCCACGCUGUAAACGAUGUGUGCUAGAUGUUGGGUAACUUUGUUAUUCAGUGUCGCAGUUAACGCGUUAAGCACA
rnacentral:rRNA from 1 species